rnacentral:rRNA from 4 species
ACGGGUGAGGAAUGCGUCGGAAUCUGCCUAUUUGUGGGGGAUAACGUAGGGAAACUUACGCUAAUACCGCAUACGACCUACGGGUGAAAGUGGGGGACCGCAAGGCCUCACGCAGAUAGAUGAGCCGACGCCGGAUUAGCUAGUUGGCGGGGUAAAGGCCCACCAAGGCGACGAUCCGUAGCUGGUCUGAGAGGAUGAUCAGCCACACUGGAACUGAGACACGGUCCAGACUCCUACGGGAGGCAGCAGUGGGGAAUAUUGGACAAUGGGCGCAAGCCUGAUCCAGCCAUGCCGCGUGUGUGAAGAAGGCCUUCGGGUUGUAAAGCACUUUUGUCCGGAAAGAAAACCUUUCGAUUAAUACUCGGAGGGAAUGACGGUACCGGAAGAAUAAGCACCGGCUAACUUCGUGCCAGCAGCCGCGGUAAUACGAAGGGUGCAAGCGUUACUCGGAAUUACUGGGCGUAAAGCGUGCGUAGGUGGUUUGUUAAGUCUGAUGUGAAAGCCCUGGGCUCAACCUGGGAACUGCAUUGGAAACUGGCUUACUAGAGUGCGGUAGAGGGUAGUGGAAUUCCCGGUGUA